GAUGAACGCUGGCGGCGUGCCUAAUACAUGCAAGUCGAGCGAACAGACGAGGAGCUUGCUCCUCUGACGUUAGCGGCGGACGGGUGAGUAACACGUGGAUAACCUACCUAUAAGACUGGGAUAACUUCGGGAAACCGGAGCUAAUACCGGAUAAUAUAUUGAACCGCAUGGUUCAAUAGUGAAAGACGGUUUUGCUGUCACUUAUAGAUGGAUCCGCGCCGCAUUAGCUAGUUGGUAAGGUAACGGCUUACCAAGGCAAUGAUGCGUAGCCGACCUGAGAGGGUGAUCGGCCACACUGGAACUGAGACACGGUCCAGACUCCUACGGGAGGCAGCAGUAGGGAAUCUUCCGCAAUGGGCGAAAGCCUGACGGAGCAACGCCGCGUGAGUGAUGAAGGUCUUCGGAUCGUAAAACCCUGUUAUUAGGGAAGAACAAAUGUGUAAGUAACUAUGCACGUCUUGACGGUACCUAAUCAGAAAGCCACGGCUAACUACGUG
rnacentral:rRNA from 1 species